rnacentral:rRNA from 1 species
GGCCGCGGGAAUUCGAUUCAGGCCUAACACAUGCAAGUCGAGCGGGGUUUUCGGACCUAGCGGCGGACGGGUGAGUAAUGCGUAGGGAGCUACCCGAUAGAGGGGGAUACCAGUUGGAAACGACUGUUAAUACCGCAUAAUGUCUACGGACCAAAGUGUGGGACCUUCGGGCCACAUGCUAUCGGAUGCGCCUACGUGGGAUUAGCUAGUUGGUGAGGUAAUGGCUCACCAAGGCGACGAUCCCUAGCUGGUUUGAGAGGAUGAUCAGCCACACUGGAACUGAGACACGGUCCAGACUCCUACGGGAGACAGCAGUGGGGAAUAUUGGACAAUGGGCGCAAGCCUGAUCCAGCCAUGCCGCGUGUGUGAAGAAGGCCUUCGGGUUGUAAAGCAAUGGCAGUAGGGAGGAAGAGUUGAGUGUUAAUAGUACUCAGCUUUGACGUA